rnacentral:rRNA from 1 species
GACGAACGCUGACGGCGUGCUUAACACAUGCAAGUCGAAGGGAGUGGCGAACGGGUUAGUAACACGUGAGUCACCUGCCCUUUUCUUUGAGAUAAGCCUGGGAAACUGGGUCUACUACUUGAUUGAUUGGGAUGGGCUCGUGGCUUAUCCGCUUGUUGGUGGGGUUAUGGCGUACCAAGGCUUUGACGGGUAGCCGGCCUGAGAGGGUGGGCGGUCACACAGGGACUGAGAUACGGCCCAGACUCCGACGGGGGGCAGCAGUGGGGGAUAUUGCACAAUGGACGAAAGUCGGAUGCAGCGACGUCGUGUGGGGGAUGAAGGCCUUCGGGUUGUAAACUCCUUUCGCCCGCGGAAUGGUAGUGGGUAAAGAAGCGCCGGCUAACUACGUGCCAGCAGCCGCGGUAAUUC